rnacentral:lncRNA from 1 species
AAGUUAUGUAAGGAUGGAUGGUUACUACUUCUGCUACAAGUGCUUUAAACCUUACAAACACCUUAGUACGCUUAACAGACAUCAAAAGUAUGAGUGCAAUAAAGAAAGGCAGUUCCAGUGUAAGAUAUGCAGUAGGAAGUUUUCUCAAAAGAACAGUUUGAAGAUUCAUAUGGUGGGAGUUCAUUAUACUCUACCUUAGUUUAAAUAGUAUUAUUAGUCUUUUUUAUAUUUUCCUUUGAUAUUUUGUUUACAACUCUCGGAAUAUUAUAAUUUCUUUAAUCAAUUUGCUCUCAAGUUUAUGUACAGUUCGUCCAAUAUACUUACCGUUGCACGUCAUCCACGUCAUAACCCUUGACGUCACAUGAUACCAACACGAAAUAUUUAGGCGGUAGGUAUGUGCCUUAUUAGAAUCAUAUAGCCGAGUAAACGGGAAUUACAGCCACUAGACAUAUUUUAUUAUAUACGCGUAGAAAUAAUAUGGGAAGAUUUCUAUUAAUAUACAUUUAAAGAAACAUACCCUAACUUUAAUUUGUAUAAGUGGAAUAGAAAGCGUUGUUAUAAAGCACACUUGUUCGGAUUACACUCUAACUGCGAUCGAACAAAGGUGACAUGUUGGCAUAAAUUGGUAACAUUUAUUUGACAGUUGCGGUAUUUACACUUUGUUUGACAGAUUUGUUUUUAUUCUUUACUAUAAGUAUUUGUUUUAUUUAAUUUACUGAUUUUAAUAUUUACUUUAACUUAAGAUUUUUAACUUAAUUCUUGUUUUCUAUUUCUAAAGUUUUUUUUUUAUUUAUUUACAUUGAAUAUUAAUUAUUUGUUUUGUUGUACCUAUAAUCCACUUCCGCAAAAAUUAUGUGAUAUAUUUGAUUUAAAAUGAAUCAAAGAAUUUUUUGUAAUUGGGCAACAAUGUCAACUUAGAUUUCUGACGUAGAUAAUGACGUGCAACGGUAAGUAUAUUGGACGGUAAAUCACUUUUGACUAUCAAAAAGUUUUUCCCAUGUAUCCAGUACAGUCGGAAUGUAAUUUGAUCUUGCAUGGCGAGCUACUACAAAUGUUAUUAUUCUAACCUUUAGGGGGGGGGGCGUAAGACCUGAAAUUGUUGCAAAUACGAUUUGCUACAAUUUCUUUGUUGCAAAUGAGUUACUGAGUUAAGAGGGAAAAUAGUAACCAAGCAUAAUUAUUGCUUUAUCUCGUUUAUUAUCAAUUUUACGACAUGAAUUUAAAUAAACAAAAAUUGGGAAAUUAUAUUUUUUAGAAUUUUGAUCUGUUUUAUUUUUUACUAAAAUCAAUAUUUAAGAUGCUACGUUCGUUUUUGUUUGUGGUCUGCUGCUGACGACAAUUAUAGACGUAGAACCUUAAAUUUUGAUUAUAGCACAAAAAACAAAGCAGUUAUAGGAUAAAAUAUAAUUUCUCUAUUCUCUCCAUUUUUGUUUAUGUGCAUUUAUGUCGUAAAGUUAAUAAUAAAUGAGAUAAUUUAAUAAUUAUAAUUAGUCACUAUUUUCCCCCUGAAAAAAAAUUGCAAAGAAGAUAUUGCAGGAAAUUGCUACUGCAACAAUACAUUUUGUAAAAGUUUUGCAAAGUAAAUUUGCAAAUCCUCGCAAGCCCUUCAGUUCGCGCUUUUACCAAAUACGAACGACCUCGAAUUUUCUUCCAUCAGUCCUUCAGGUCUUAGGGAUAGCAAGCCCUAGCUUUCAAAUCACACUACCCUUUGCCAUACCUCGCUUGCUUUUACCGAUUUUUUUGGUAUCGAAUAUAAAAAUAACCUGUACAUAAAGUAAAUAAAUUAAAUAAAUCUAAUUAAAAAAGGAAGUGCCAAUAUAGCUAGCAAUAAUUACCACUUGUUUAUUUUUUAUGUCAACGUAAAUCAUUAAGUAUUAUUUUGUUUAUAUUUCUGAAUAUUAUUAUUCUAUUAUUCUUAAGUUCAAUCGAACUAUAUUUGGUCCCAGAAUAUGUGAUUUAAUUUAUGACCUACCUUUUUGUUAAACUCUGUGUAUGUUAUUAAUAUAGCUAAAAAAGAAAUAAUAUUUUUAUAUCACUAUUUUUUUGUAUGUAUUGAGUACAUAGCUGAUCUUGUGAAAAUGCGAAUUUUAGGGCGCGAAUACAUAUAUCUCUUCGUUAGCAAUAUUUUUUGCAAUAUGUGGUUACAAAAUCUAAAAGUGACAGUUUUUAUUCGGUAUAUAAAUCGGUAUUCGGUAUUUUAUUCGGUAUAUGAAUGUAUCAAUUAUAUAUUAAUCUUAAAUAAACCGUAGAAAAUUAUAUGCAAGUCGAAACGCCAAAUAAAGCCCAAUUUAUCUUAAGACGGGACGUGGACGGCACGUGCCGUAGAACAAUAGACGGCGCACGUCCCCGUUGUAGCCUCGUUCCGUUGUACUAUAAACUAGCCCAUGCUUUUCAUAUCACACGAUUCUUCAACGUACCCCGUAAGACAGUUGUGUCGCCCACGUCCCCGUCGUAAAAUAAAUUGGGACUAACAAGUAGGUACAUAAGAUGUAAUUUUCAUUACAAUCAAUUGUGGCCUAUUUCCAUUGAAGCGUAAAUUUUAACUCAAAAACUAUCACUACAAUACGUGAAAUUCUAAAUGUAUAAAAGACGUACGAACAGUUAUUAAAUUCUCAGUGCAUCAAUGUUAUUUUUAACAACAACCUAUGUUCAAAUAUGUGCCUAUACAGUUUUAAACAGUACUUAUUAUUUAUAGACUAAUUUGUUAAGCGCUGUGUAAAUCUGUAAUAGUCCUGGAUCCCGCGUACCAAAAAAAAUUGAUUAAUAGCAAGCUGAAAAUUUGUUAAUAGCUUAACGGUGUCUAGUCGGACAAACUUUGAUGUACGGGAACACUGGAAAAGGGGAAGUUUUAAUUGUGGAACAGGUUAAAAAUUUGGAAAGUCAGACUACAAAAACGUUCCAUGUAUUUUGUCUCACAGAACGUCCAAUUGAUUUGUUACCCUUUCAUUAAACUCUCAUGCAAAAAUCAGACUGCUAUUAACCAAUAUGAUUUCUGUCAUUUGACAUGUUCUUCGUGCUCCACUCAUUAAAAUGCCGAGUUGGUGACAAACACCAGUCUGAUUUUUGCAUGAGAGUUUAAUGAAAUGGUAACAAAUCAAUUGCAAGUUUUGUCCGACAAAAUACAUGGAACGUUUUCGUAGUCUGACGUUCCAAAUUUUUAACUUGUUUCACAAUUAAAACUUCCGCUGUUCCACUGUUCCCAUACAUCAAAGUUUGUCCGACUAGACACCGUUAAGCUAUUAACAAAUUGUAAGCUUGCUUCCAAUCAACUUUUUUUUUGUACGGGAGAUCCAGGAUCCAUGAUGUUAGAAUUUCUCAAUUAAAUUUCAUAUUUAUUA